rnacentral:rRNA from 1 species
GAUGAACGCUGGCGGCGUGCCUAAUACAUGCAAGUCGAGCGAACGGACGAGAAGCUUGCUUUUCUGAUGUUAGCGGCGGACGGGUGAGUAACACGUGGAUAACCUACCUAUAAGACUGGGAUAACUUCGGGAAACCGGAGCUAAUACCGGAUAAUAUUUUGAACCGCAUGGUUCAAAAGUGAGAGACGGUCUUGCUGUCACUUAUAGAUGGAUCCGCGCUGCAUUAGCUAGUUGGUAAGGUAACGGCUUACCAAGGCAACGAUGCAUAGCCGACCUGAGAGGGUGAUCGGCCACACUGGAACUGAGACACGGUCCAGACUCCUACGGAAGGCAGCAGUAGGGAAUCUUCCGCAAUGGGCGAAAGCCUGACGGAGCAACGCCGCGUGAGUGAUGAAGGUCUUCGGAUCGUAAAACUCUGUUAUUAGGGAAGAACAUAUGUGUAAGUAACUGUGCACAUCUUGACGGUACCUAAUCAGAAAGCCACGGCUAACUACGUG